AAGCGGGAAGCGUGCCUGAAGAUGAGACGUCCCGGGGACUUGAUCCCCCUGAAGGGUCGUGGCAGACCACCACGUUGAUAGGCCGGGUGUGGAAGCGCGGUAACGCGUGCAGCUAACCGGUACUAAUGGCCCGUGCGGCUUGACCUCAUAACUGUG
rnacentral:rRNA from 1 species